rnacentral:rRNA from 1 species
UACGUAGGUGUCGAGCGUUGUCCGGAUUUAUUGGGCGUAAAGAGCCCGCAGGCGGCUUGGCAAGUUUGAGGUGAAAUCUCCCGGCUUAACUGGGAGGGGGCCUCGAAAACUGCCAGGCUUGAGGCAUGGAGAGGGAUGCGGAAUUCCCGGUGUAGUGGUGAAAUGCGUAGAUAUCAGGAGGAACACCGGUGGCGAAGGCGGGUCUCUGGGCCGAUACUGACGCUGAGGAGCGAAAGCGUGGGGAGCGAACAGG